UUUAAAACCGCUGAAGAAUGGGGCAAAUUGUCAGUGCUCCGUCAGAUUCAAACCUGAUAAGUUUGUUGAGAGAAUCUUCAUCAUGUUUGCCGUGCAGAAGGUGCUUCUGUUGUUGACGCUUUGUGUUGCUGUGGCCACUUCUUUCAGUCUCUGUUGGAUGAGUGAAAACUGUUCUAACGAGUGUCAAGCGUCAUCUACCCCUGUGUGUGAUUUCUUCAUCUGUAGAUGCAAAUCUGCCACCAAUCCCGACGAUUCCCCGAAUACUACUGACGCGUGACGUGCAGACGGCGGAGUUAUGACGAGGUGCAUCGAUCCUGGACGCAUAAUUAUAUUGUAAAAAUUGAAUAAAUAUAGAGGUUCAAAAAAUUUGGAA